GCCAGACACUUAAGACGUGCACAAAACAAAGGAUUUACAGAGAGAGAGAGAAAAAAAUCGUCACGGUGUUUGACAAAAAGCAUUCCAUUUGCAUUAUCUGUGCAUAUUAGUAAAGUAACAAACCACAAGCCAGGACGUCACUAAGUGGUAUUUAAGAGGCAGCGUCACAGGUGAAUGGAGAGAAGUGGAAGAACUGAAGCAUAGAAUAACUAUUGGACCACUGAGACAGCAGCGGAUUACCGAUCAACGUGUUCAGCAUAAUAUAUCUGCUAAAGCAAAAGUCCAAUCCCAAAGUACAACAAUCUCCGUAACAGAUUCAACAUCAUCACUAUCAUCUGUUAGUACAACCAACACCUCCGCAACAUCCACAGCUACAACUUCUUCAACAACCACUACAGCUCCUGCUGAAACAUUCACCACUACUGCAGGAGUUACCACAACAGCACCACAAACUACUGUUACAACAACUGAAUCCUCCACAACAGCCACAACAACAAAUGCACCCUCAACUAUAGUUUGUUCAAAUCCAUGCACAAAACCAACAACUUUAACCCCAACAGGUUCUACCUCUGUCACAACAACUCUUACUGAGUCAUCAACCAUUAGUGCACCAGUCACAUCUGCUCAGUCUACAGCCUCUACAGCAUCUACAGAGCCUACAGCUUCUACAGUCUCAUCCACAUCUUCUCAGUCUACAGCAUCUACAGAUUCUACAAUAUCUACAGCAUCUACAGAGACUACAGCUCCUAUAGUAUCUACAGCUUCUACAGUGUCAGCCACAUCUGCUCAGUCUACAGCAUCAACAGCAUCUACAGUAUCUACAGCAUCUACAGAAUCUACAGAGUCUACAGCUCCUACAGUAGCUACAGCUUCUACAGUGUCAUCCACAUCUGCUCGGUCUACAGCAUCAACAGCUUCUACAACAUCAACAGCUUCUACAGUGUCUACAGCUUCUACAGAGCCUACAGCUUCUACAGUGUCAUCCACAUCUGCUCGGUCUACAGCAUCAACAGCUUCUACAAUAUCUACAGCAUCUACAGAGUCUACAGCUCCUACAGUAUCUACAGCUUCUACAGUGCCAUCCACAUCUGCUCAGUCUACAGCAUCUACAGAUUCUACAGCAUCAACAGAUUCUACAAUAUCUACAGCAUCUACAGAGCCUACAGCUUCUACAGUGUCAUCCACAUCUGCUCAGUCUACAGCCUCUACAGCAUCUACAGUAUCUACAGAUUCUACAGUGUCAUCCACUUCUGCUCAGUCUACAGCAUCUACAGAUUCUACAGCUUCUACAGCAUCAACAGAUUCUACAAUAUCUACAGCAUCUACAGAGUCUACAGCUCCUACAGUAUCUACAGCUCCUACCGCGUCAUCCACUUCUACUCAGUCUACAGCCUCUACAGCAUCUGCAGAGCCUACAGCUCAUACAGUAUCUACAGCGUCUACAGUGUCAUCCACAUCUGCUCAGUCUACAGCCUCUACAGCAUCUACAGAGCCUACAGCUCAUACAGUAUCUACAGCUUCUACAGUGUCAUCCACAUCUACUCAGUCUACAGCAUCUACAGAUUCUACAGCAUCAACAGAUUCUACAAUAUCUACAGCAUCUACAGAGCCUACAGCUCCUAUAGUAUCUACAGCUUCUACAGUGUCUUCCACAUCUGCUCAGUCUACAACCUCUGCAGCAUCUACAGAGUCUACAGCUCCUAUAGUAUCUACAGCUUCUACAGUUUCUUCCACAUCUGCUCAGUCUGCAGCCUCUGCAGCAUCUACAGAGUCUACAGCUCCUAUAGUAUCUACAGCUUCUACAGUGUCAUCCAGUUCUGCUCAGUCUACAGCAUCUACAGAGUCUACAGCUCCUACAGUAUCUACAGAUUCUACAGUGUCAUCCACUUCUGCUCAUACUACAGCAUCUACAGAGACCACAGCUCCUACAGUAUCUACAGCUUCUACAAUUUCUACAGCAUCUACAGAGACCACAGCUCCUACAGUAUCUACAGCUUCUUCAAUAUCUACAGCAUCUACAGAGCCCACAGCUUCUACUGUAUCUACAGCUUCUACAGUGUCAUCCACAUAUACUCAGUCUACAGCAUCUACAGAUUCUACCGCAUCUACAGAUUCUACAAUAUCUACAGCAUCUACAGAGUCUACAGUAUCUACAGAGUCUACAGCUUCUACAGUAUCUACAGCUUCUACAGUAUCAACCACAUCUGCUCAUACUACAGCAUCUACAGAGACCACAGCUCCUACAGUAUCUACAGCUUCUACAGUGUCUUCCGCAUCUGCUCAGUCUACAGCCUCUGCAGCAUCUACAGAGCCUACAGCUCCUAUACUAUCUACAGCUUCUACAGUGUCUACCACAUCUACUCAUUCUACAGCCUCUGCAGCAUCUACAGAGUCUACAGCUCCUAUAGUAUCUACAGCUUCUACAGUGUCAUCAACAUCUGCUCAGUCUACAGCAUCUACAGCGUCUACAGUAUCUACAUCAUCUACAAUAUCUACAGCAUCUACAGAGUCUACAAAUCCUACACUAUCUACAGCAUCUACAGUGUCUUCCACAUCUGCUCAUUCUACAGCCUCUGCAGCAUCUACAGAGCCUACAGCUCCUACAGUACCUACAGCUUCUACAGAGUCAUCCACUUCUGCUCAGUCUACAGCCUCUACAGCAUCUACAGUAUCUACAGAUUCUACAGUGUCAUCCACUUCUGCUCAUUCUACAGCAUCUACAGAGUCUACAGCUUCUACAAUAUCUACAGCUUCUACAAUAUCUACAACAUCUACAGAGCCUACAGCUCCUACAGUAUCUACAGCUUCUACAGUGUCAUCCACAUCUGCUCAUACUACAGCAUCUACAGAGACCACAGCAUCUACAACAUCUACAACUUCCACAGCAACUACUGCAAAAAUAGUACCUGAGGUGCUAACAGUUCUGGAGUUUCGCUCUAAUGACACAUUUAUUAUUGCACUCAGCGAUAACAACAGUGAGGAGUUCAAGAGUAGGGCUAAGCUUGUCAAAGAUCAGGUGAGGUUAAAUCCAUUUAUUAUAUACACUGUAAUACACUAA
ensembl:lncRNA